rnacentral:rRNA from 1 species
UACGUAGGGGGCAAGCGUUGUCCGGAUUUAUUGGGCGUAAAGAGCGUGUAGGCGGCCAUGCAGGUCCGUUGUGAAAACUCGAGGCUCAACCUCGAGACGUCGAUGGAAACCGCACGGCUAGAGUCCGGAAGAGGAGAGUGGAAUUCCUGGUGUAGCGGUGAAAUGCGCAGAUAUCAGGAAGAACACCCGUGGCGAAGGCGGCUCUCUGGGACGGUACUGACGCUGAGACGCGAAAGCGUGGGGAGCGAACAGG